rnacentral:rRNA from 1 species
CGGACGGGUGAGUAACGCGUGGAUAACCUGUCUCACACUGGGGGAUAACAGUUAGAAAUGGCUGCUAAUACCGCAUAAGCGCACAGUACCGCAUGGUACGGUGUGAAAAACCCAGGUGGUGUGAGAUGGAUCCGCGUCUGAUUAGCCAGUUGGCGGGGUAACGGCCCACCAAAGCGACGAUCAGUAGCCGACCUGAGAGGGUGACCGGCCACAUUGGGACUGAGACACGGCCCAA